GGGGACAUGACUCAGUGGCAGAGCAUCUGCCUGGCAUGCAGACAGUCCCAGGUUCAAUCCCCAGCAUCUCCA
rnacentral:tRNA from 1 species